rnacentral:lncRNA from 1 species
GGAGAAGAGGAUGAAAAACAUAUUAUAGAGAAGCAAUGAGAACCCAGCUGAGGGGUGGUAAUAAACAGGGUCUUGCUGAAAAAUACAUGGAACAUUUCAAUCCUGAAUUGAAUGAAGUUGGAUGUGUUUUCACAGUGCCAACUCAGUUUGACAAGUGGGAAAGAGAUGUUUGCUGAGCAGGGAGAGAAUAUUUGAAGUCCAGAGGAAUUGAUUACACAGAUGACCCCAAGAACCAAGGUGAAUGAGGCUGUACAUAUGGGAUGCACCUUUC